UACGGAGGGGGCGAGCGUUAUUCGGAAUUAUUGGGCGUAAAGGGCGCGUAGGCGGCCUUGUAAGUCAAAGGUGAAAUCCCUCGGCUCAACUGAGGAACUGCCUUUGAAACUGCAAGGCUUGAGGCCGGGAGGGGGUAGCGGAAUUCCCAAUGUAGCGGUGAAAUGCGUAGAUAUUGGGAGGAACACCAGUGGCGAAGGCGGCUACCUGGACCGGUUCUGACGCUGAGGCGCGAAAUCGUGGGUAGCAAACAGG
rnacentral:rRNA from 1 species